ensembl:lncRNA
UGUAAUCUACACCAGAAGAGCUCAUGAAUGUUCAGAGAAUGCUUAAGUGAAAGGGGAAAUCGCCAGCAGGUACCCGUUUCUGUUUUCUUCUUGUUUGUGGGACUACUCUUCCCAUGAGACAGUCACUUGAUUUGAGACCAGCCGAUUGCCUCCAGUGCGUUGUGUUGGUGAGUAGAACAGCAAAUCUUAGAGAGGACAGAUGCAGCACUUAUGAAGAGAGCCUCACUGAGACACUUUAGGUGAAGCAGAAAUAUCUUUGGGUCUCUUAAACACAGCGAGGAGCAGGAAUAAACUCUGAACAGAAGUCUUACUGAACAGCACCACCGACAGUUUGCGCCUGCAUCCACUGGCCAGUUUUAGUGUGCCUCCGUGUUCAUUGUGUGGGGGGCAAAUUUAAAUCUGCCGUAUGGCCCCGCUCAGUUUGAACUCAAUUGAAGCUUGGCCAUGUACAUUUGCUUGACUUUAACCUUUGUUCCAACACAGCUGAUUUAAAUGACCUCAACAUGUCUUGAAGUUCUUCAGAGGCUGGUAAUGAACCAAUCAUCUGACUCAGGUGUGCUGACCCAGGGUGAGAUCUAAAACCUGCAGGACACCAGCUCUCAAGGCCUGGAGGUCCCCACCCCUGGUUUAGACUCUGUGAUGGUACUGACCUGUGACUUUGAGCUUGUAUCCAGGACACCGUACCGGCUCACUCAGUGGAACAGGGAGCUAAUGUGAAUGUUUGUGUCGCCUGCAGGAGAUCCGAGCUAGUAGCAAACACCACUGUCAUAAAGGAAGUAGCUUCAGCAUGGAGAUGGUUGCUGUUCGUUUAUAAGUGAUCAGAUGUUCGGUGAAUCAAACAGCAGGUCUACCUGAGCUGUGGAAGCUUCUGCAACCUUGGCAUGCAUUUGCAGCCGAUGCUACAUUCAAACUAUGAACUGGUUGAAGGAGCAGUACACUCAUUGUUGCUUUCUGUGAGAGAUAUGUGAGAUUCUGGGAACCGGCACAAUACCAGCAGCUGACUUUAAAGUAUUUUGUGUGUACACUUAGAUUCUGCCUUUUGUUGUUUUCUGUGCCAUGAUAUAUACUCACAACGUAGGGCGCACUUUCCCUCCACAGAAAUGUCACGGAGGGCUUUUCCAUUUACCACUACUCUCGUAUAUAUUACUGUGUUUAAGUAUGUGCCGCUGAACCGUUUAUUCCAGUAACACUUAUGGACUUCAGCUCCAUCAGCCUGUGCGAUGAUGAAGCCUUUGGGCAAAAUUAACUGAAGUAUUUGUGUCUUAUUUGUGCAUGACGUAUAACAAAACUACAGAAUUCUUAUUGAUGAAAAUAUAGCGUAAAAUCAAACCCUUACUGACACUGCACUUCACAGCACAACAGGGUUCAGAGUCUGCUGAUAGUUUAAGGUAGGAGAUGCAAAUCUGCUGCUUUUCCUCGUCUUACUGUAAAAUAGGAGAGUCCUCAGAGGAUGCAGCUUUAAAGGGCAUCAUUGGAUCCUUUGGCCAUGCUAUAUUUGUCCAUCACAAUUCAAAUAAUGAUAUGGUAUUUUUUCCUUAAUCUUACAAUCUUAAUCUUGCUUUUUUCCCGUUUUUGGCCACAUAAUGAAACAUUUAAGUGUUUGAAAAUGUUUGAUUUUAUAAUAUUGUUCAAGUAAACAGGUUACACCAAAUCUUUACAAGUCUAUGUGUAUACUUCUUUGUUAUUGUAUUAAUCACUUGCCUGAUGCUGAUCCCUUGUGUCAAC